ACCGGCAUCGCACGGCUUUCACCCAUCCAUCCAUCCAUCCAUCCAUCCAUCCAUCUUCGUUCGAAGCGCACAAGUUUUUUGCUACGAACUUACUAAGAACCUUCUAAAGCAAAGCGACAUAAGUCACGUUCCACGAACGUUCAAAAUUUUACUUAAAAUAGAUAAGACCAAUUGUGUUUUUAACAAAUUCGACAAAAAAAAAAAAACAACGCAAUCUUUAUAAUAUACGUAAACAUCAACUAAACGUGUGUGUGAGUUAGAUUAACGUUCCUUCCGAGUGUCCAUUAUACGUAAAAUAAAACUUUAAUCGCGUUUGGUGUAAGCUUACCAACGAAAAUGACAUUUUCUUGGUGGUGUGUUUUCGUUUAAUAAAAAAAAAAAAAAAGGGAAAAAAAAUAAAAACUUAAAUAAAGACCGUAUCCCUCGUUUUCUUCGUCUGAAACGUGACAUUUACAAUUUCUACGCGAUGUUUUCUGACGACCAUCUGCCUACCCUACAAAAUGUUGUUAGAAGCUACUACCACAACGUUCUAAGAUUAUAGAAAGAGUCAGUUUUAAUAGAAUCUCCAUUUUGGGUGGGCCCCGAUCGGAUGACAAAGGAUCCAGGAGUCUCGUCGAUCGAUUCGAAGGCUCACAAUCGUGAGCAUGUUUUAUUUAUCGGAAUAAUUCUGAAAGAACGUGGGGGUUGUUCAACGAGUUACUCGCUGACCACGAAUAAAUACGAAGAAGAAGAAGAAGAAGACAACAACGAACACAACGAUGUAACAACGACAUAGACGACCACCACUACGACAAAUAUAAGAAAGAGGGAAAAGAUCGAGGUUAGUUUCUCGUUGUAACGAGCCUUCGAGAAUCUCGGAAGCACAAAAGUAUUUCUCUCUUUCUCUCUCUCUCUCUUUCAUUUUCUCCUUCUCUAAUUUUUUCUCUCUCUCUUUCCUUCGCAUUUUAAAAUCUCACCGUUAUCUAACAGUUUCGGCGCAAUCUCCUAACGGUCCUCGCGUUUCUACGGACAAUGAAAUGCCUCUGAAAAUAUGUAAUAUUAUCGUCAACAACCAAGGUGGACCUUUUGUAAGAAACCAGUCGCUUGCUUGCUUGCUUGCUAGCAUCGUUCAAAUGAAAUUAUGUUGCGUUGCGAGAAGCAAGAACGAGAAACUCUCGAUUCGCGUCGUACGUCUAGCGGUGCUUAUACUCAACUUUUACGAGCAACCUCGUCUGAAUAUCUAAUUGUUCUAGUUGUUGAAAGAAGAAAAAAGAAAAAAGAAAAAAGAAAAAAGAAAAAAGAAAAAGUAUGAAAGAAAGAAAGAAAGAAGAAAUAUAAACGAUAACGUAACAGGUAUGGUCGACAUUAACGACCACGAUGAUGUUUCGUUCUUUUCAAGGAAUGACUUGUUCGCAUAUAUGAUAUUUUUCAUCUUUUCUUCAAACCUUUAGAAAUACGCUUAAUAACAACACAGUCUAACUUCUUCCUAUUUAUCAUUGAAAGAAAGAUUUCAACGAGUUAUUAAUUAUCGUAUUAGACAAAUAGCUUUCUAUUCUAUUUAGUUUACGAAACGUUUUUCAACGCUUAUAUAAUGUGCAUACGUAUAUUAUAUAUGAUAAAAUAAUAUAGAAUAAUGUAUAUAAAGGAUAUCUCAGUUAAAUAGGAUCAUCUAAAUAUAUCAUAUGUUUACGAUUGUAUGAAAUAACUUUAUAGGAAAAAGUUUUACCAUAGUGCGGAUGGAAAAAAUGUAUUGGUCGAAAGAAUUUUGUGUCUUUUAAAUUAAAUUUCAAAGCUAUCGAUAUGUUUUUAAAUAAAAUCUUAUAUUUUCUUUUUUGAUAUUUUUCUAAAGCGUACAAAAAAAGAAAAUACCAAACGAAUUUAACGCUCUGACGCAAUUGCAGUUUAUUUUUUAACGUAAUCCAAUUGUUUGCAUUGAAAUAAAAAAAAAAAAAGAAAUAAAAUGAUAGGAAAUCAAAAGCCGUAUUGUUGCCGUAUGAUUUUUGUCCUCUAUCAUUUUUAUCGAUUUUUAUUUGAAAGAAAAAAAAAAAGAAUAAGAACCCGUCCCAGUUCCAAGAAUCAACCUGUGUAUUUAUACGUAUCGAGAUAUUUACUCAUAUAUAUACAUAUACAUAUAUAUACAGUGUUAAAGAAUCACACGUGCGACUUUAAUAUCCGGCAAGGUCGCACGAGCUAAUUCGUUAUCCGUGUCUCAUCGUAAUCUUUUAAAAGUAUUUUCUCGGUUAAGUUCCCCGGUUGUGUUAGUCGAAACCGUGGGGAGCACAUUGUAGUUCAAGGGGGCAGCCGUCUGACAACUCAAUCCCACAUUGGGAGAGGCAUUUCUAUUUUUAACCAUGGGCGGACAGCGGAUUCUAUCCGAGGCUCAUAAACCGGAUUCGUAUCUUGGAAUCUGAGGGGGUAGUAAGGAUGCAUAUGGCGUACGUAUGUACGUACGUACGUAUCUACGUACUUACAUACGCACCUACGUAUUCGUAUAACGCGUCCGGGUCGAUGAAUCUAACGACUAGAAGAUAGAUAAUCGUCCUAGUCAAAAAUAAAUUCGAUUUAAUAUUCUCUUCAAUGAUUUAAUAUAUCGCGUUUAAACUUCUUAACUUGAAACGCAUUAUCUCGUACGUUCCACCACGAUUUGCACGAUUCCGAAAAAAGUGAGAGAGAAAGAGAGAGAGAGACGAAUAAGAAAAAUGAUUUGAUCGGUGAUCAUAAAAUUCCUUCGUUCGGUAUACUCUCCCAUCAUACGAACGUGAAAACGUCGUGGCAGGUACAUACGUGCCCGGUAGUAACAGAGGCCACCUUGAAAAAUCAUGCUCGAGUUCGUCGUUUUAAUGCGCGAACGAGUUCGGGACUUUCGCGUCGUUAAACGUUUUUCCUAACGUAAGUCGCGCGUGUCAUGGGGUUGGAGGGACAAGGGGACGGGGGAAACGGAGGGGAACAAGUAAAAAAGGUAACAAGUAAUCGUCGUGUCUGGUGUACACCGCUCGGACUCCAAAACGAAGCAAGGUUCGGGACAACACGAGAGAGAUGAAGAUUCCACUUUCGGUUUGGUUGAAAAGAAAUUGACUCGAUGAACCAAACAAACAACUAACCAACGAAACAACCAACCAACCUUCCCUUGUUCGAUGAGAUUCGUGGAAAGUUUCCGGCGAGUGAUCACCGGAAGAAAUAAACCCGAUGAAAAGAUCUUAUAUGUCGCCGCCAAUGUAUAAUAGGAACGACGGAACUAGCGCGUAUAACGAUGUGCGUGAAGCAUAAUGCACGGAAAUUUAUGGCGUCGUCUUGGCGCAAAUUACCGCCCUUGAACCGUCCCCAGUGCGUCGCAUUAUUUCACACCGAAACAGGGGAUUAUUUGAUUUCUCGAGAUGCAAAGAGCUCCGCGCCGACUCAGCGGCUUUUCCACGAGCAUGAUCUUCUUGCUACCUACUAUCAACGUAUACCUCUUUUUCUUCUUAUUUCUCGUCGCAUCGAAUACGCUUGAAA
rnacentral:lncRNA from 1 species